CCUGCAGUUGAAUCUUACUAGAGAAGCUUCCCAGCAGAGUUAAAAUCAUAAAACAAUGACAAUGUUACCUUUGUUUCUCUGAGCUUUCAGACAGGAAAGACAGCAACGGAACUGUGUAUCAACUUUCUUUCUUCCUCUUUUGGUGUUGAAAAAAGAUCUCUUACUCUGAGGAUUUUGCUAAUCCAUAACCUAACACUGACCGUUGCUUCUGAAACUUCCAUAGGUCCCUUAUGUCUCUGAGUUGCUUGUAUUGUGUGGGGAAUCAUCUAAUACAAGCUUAUUAGACAACUGAGCAGCUUAGAAAUCCCCCACUAGACCUUUCAGUAAGGUUUAAUCAACCAGGUAAGACCCUGGUGAGGCUGGCAAUU
rnacentral:lncRNA from 1 species